UACAGAGGGGGCAAGCGUUAUUCGGAAUUAUUGGGCGUAAAGGGCGCGUAGGCGGCCUGCUAAGUCGAACGUGAAAUCCCUGGGCUCAACCCAGGAACUGCGUCCGAUACUGGUUGGCUUGAAUCCGGGAGAGGGACGUGGAAUUCCACGUGUAGCAGUGAAAUGCGUAGAGAUGUGGAGGAACACCGAUGGCGAAGGCAGCCCCCUGGGUCAAGAUUGACGCUCAUGCACGAAAGCGUGGGGAGCAAACAGG
rnacentral:rRNA from 1 species